GAGACAGACAACGCUUCUCAGAAAACGAAGUCAUCCUUUGAAAGUGACCACAGGGGAGCAAACGUUGGCAGUGCAAGGAGAGGGGUGCAGGAGUGAUGGGACUGGCUGGAAGAGAAGCAGGAAAAGGCAGCAGGACGGCCCAGUGGUGUUUAGGAUGACUUCCCCAGCCUGCGUAGACUGCCGCAGAGAAGGCCGUAGGCUCACCAUCUUCAUGCCGAUUCUGAACAUGGCCUCCCUCAUCCAGCCUCCAUCAGCAAAGUUCUUG